rnacentral:rRNA from 1 species
GACGAACGCUGGCGGCACGCCUAACACAUGCAAGUCGAGCGGGAUCUUGUGGAAUGAGUCUUCGGACAAGUGAAGCAAGUGAGAGCGGCGGACGGGUGAGUAACGCGUGAGUAACCUGCCCUAUACAGGGGGAUAGCCAUUGGAAACGGUGAUUAAUACCCCAUAAGACCACGCCAUCGCAUGAUGAAGUGGUAAAAACUGAGGUGGUAUAGGAUGGUCUCGCGUCUGAUUAGCUAGUUGGUGAGGUAACGGCUCACCAAGGCGACGAUCAGUAACCGGCCUGAGAGGGUGAACGGUCACACUGGAACUGAGACACGGUCCAGACUCCUACGGGAGGCAGCAGUGGGGAAUAUUGCACAAUGGGGGAAACCCUGAUGCAGCGAUGCCGCGUGAACGAAGAAGGCUUUCGAGUCGUAAAGUUCUGUUCUUAGGGAAGAAAAUGACGGUACCUAAGGAGAAAGCACCGGCUGAAUACGUGCCAGCAGCCGCCGUAA